rnacentral:rRNA from 1 species
GACGAACGCUGGCGGCGCGCCUAACACAUGCAAGUCGAACGGAGUCAAGAGGAGCUUGCUUUUCUUGACUUAGUGGCGAACGGGUGAGUAACGCGUGAGUAACCUGCCCUGGAGUGGGGGACAACAGUUGGAAACGACUGCUAAUACCGCAUAAGCCCACGGAUCUGCAUGGAUCUGCGGGAAAAGGAUUUAUUCGCUCUAGGAUGGACUCGCGUCCAAUUAGCUAGUUGGUGAGGUAGCGGCCCACCAAGGCGACGAUUGGUAGCCGGACUGAGAGGUUGAACGGCCACAUUGGGACUGAGACACGGCCCAGACUCCUACGGGAGGCAGCAGUGGGGGAUAUUGCACAAUGGGGGAAACCCUGAUGCAGCGACGCCGCGUGGAGGAAGAAGGUUUUCGGAUUGUAAACUCCUGUCGUUAGG